rnacentral:rRNA from 1 species
CCUACGGGUGGCAGCAGUGAGGAAUAUUGGUCAAUGGGCUUACGCCUGAACCAGCCAAGUCGCGUGAGGGAAGACUGCCCUAUGGGUUGUAAACCUCUUUUGUCAGGGAGCAACGCCGGCUACGUGUAGCCGGACUGAGAGUACCUGCAGAAAAAGCAUCGGCUAACUCCGUGCCAGCAGCCGCGGUAAUACGGAGGAUGCGAGCGUUAUCCGGAUUUAUUGGGUUUAAAGGGUGCGUAGGCGGAAUGCCAAGUCAGCGGUAAAAUCGCGGGGCUCAACCUCGCUCCGCCGUUGAAACUGGCGGUCUUGAGUGGGCGAGAAGUAGGCGGAAUGCGUGGUGUAGCGGUGAAAUGCAUAGAUAUCACGCAGAACUCCGAUUGCGAAGGCAGCAUACCGGAGUACAACUGACGCUGAAGCACGAAAGCGUGGGUAUCGAACAGGAUUAGAUACCCCUGUAGUC